GACGAACGCUGGCGGCGUGCUUAACACAUGCAAGUCGAGCGGUAAGGCCUCUUCGGGGGUACACGAGCGGCGAACGGGUGAGUAACACGUGGGUGACCUGCCCUCAGCUCUGGGAUAAGCCUGGGAAACUGGGUCUAAUACCGGAUAUGACCACAUGUUGCAUGGUGUGUGGUGGAAAGUUUUUUCGGCUGGGGAUGGGCCCGCGGCCUAUCAGCUUGUUGGUGGGGUGAUGGCCUACCAAGGCGACGACGGGUAGCCGGCCUGAGAGGGCGACCGGCCACACUGGGACUGAGACACGGCCCAGACUCCUACGGGAGGCAGCAGUGGGGAAUAUUGCGCAAUGGGCGGAAGCCUGACGCAGCGACGCCGCGUGGGGGAUGACGGCCUUCGGGUUGUAAACCUCUUUCGACCGGGACGAAGCGUAAGUGACGGUACCGGUAGAAGAAGCACCGGCCAACUACGU
rnacentral:rRNA from 1 species